GUUUCAUUAAUUUUGUGAUGGCCUUGAUAGCGUAUUUGGGCUGAAUUUUUUGUACGGUUUAUUCGGCUCGAUGAGAUGUGUUUUGCCUCUAACACUUAUACGCCUGAAGCAAAGAAACAAAGUUGGACUCUCAUCUUCAUGUGACGGCGACGAUCUGGCGUUUGUGCUUCCUCUCAAUAUCUGCAACAGGCCGAGUUAUGACUUAGUGUUAAUCCCAUUGAUUCACUCUUCCAUGAUGUCGUCUUUAAUGCUUUGUUUCGAUCUGAAAGGCGGUGUUGGAUCCUUAUAAAUAUAUUCAGGUAACACCAAUUCUGGCUCCACAAUACUACAAAAGUUUGUUGCUUUUCUAGAGUAACGGUGUUUGAUUCCCUUGGAUUGCAUGCUAAACUUUCUCUAGAGGCUCUUGAAGUUCCUGUGGGGUAUCUAAUUUUUUACUCUUCUGUAUCCCAAUUGCUGUUUCUCGCUAUUGUUAUCAAUUAAAUUAAUAACUUUUUGUUUGUCUGGAUCAGAUGUGUCAUUCUUGAGGAGGGUAACAUAAUUGCUUCACCUAUUUCUCUCUAUGAGUAACUCUGAAACAUAAAACAAUGCGAUUACAUAGAGUGUUUCUUGAUUGUCACAUUGGUUGCUUCAUCUAUGCUACUUACUAAGUCGUUUGUUAUAAUUUUGUUCGGAAAGGCCACAAGACAUGCAGAGAUGGAAGCAAUCGAUGAACUUAUUGGACAAUAAAAAAAAGAUAGACUUUCACCUUCACAAGUCGCUGAGAAAUUCUCGAUAUGAUUCCUUAACCUUAACUUGACAACUUUUGUCUGUUUGUUUGUUCCUAAUAUGAUCUUCUCUUUUAUCGAAAUAUAAAGGAAGUAUAUUAUGGAUGCGGAAAUGAUAAAUUUGGGGGGUUGUGGUUCCAUAUUGUCGCUUCACUUAGGGAGUUCUCGAACUGAAGAAGCUCAAAGGGGUAUAAUGGAAGUAUAUUAUGGAUGCGAAAAUGAUAAAUAUUGGGGUUGUGGUUCCAUAUUUUCGCUUCACUUAGGUAGUUUUCAGACUGAAGAAGCUCAAAGAGGUAUAAAGGAAGUAUAUCGUUGAUGCGGAAAUGAUAAAUUUGCGGGUUGUGGUUCCAUAUUGUCGCUUCAGGUAGGGAUUUCUCAGAUCGAAUAAACUGAAAGAGGAAAAGGUACAAGUGCAAAGGAGGAAUAAUGGCAGACGAAGCUGUCUUUCUUUCAAAUGUUUCUAUGAGCAAGGCAAUCUGUGCGGCCCCGACCCGUUUUCCUCUGUGAGAUUCAGUUCAGUUUACAGUGCUCGCUAAGUCUAACCAGCAUCCUAGAAACUCACUAAGACUGACAGAAUAAUAAACAUAUACCUUAUUACCUUGAUGCUUGUUUGAUUGCUAAUCCUUCCAUACGCCCCAUCCUUGAUGUGUUCAUGCUUCUCCAUCCGUCCUAUCCAUUCAGCUCAAUCAGGUUACUCAACCAAAUCCCCUUGUUCCUUAGUCAUUCAGCCAACCAUCCCCACAUGGCCAAAAACAAAGAGACAGGGCUAGGUCUCCAACCAGCCAUCCAGAACAGUCAGUACACUAGCCAUGCUCAGCGUCCCAGAACCAGUUUCUGAUCCCAUCCGAUCAGACAAUAUGCUACUCGACCUCACGGUCUUCAGUCAGUACACCUCAGUUGAACUCGGCACACCCACCAUCAUAACAGCUAAUCAUCUAUAACUCAGGACAUUCUCUCGACCCAACGGCUCAUCGCUAUCCAGUACACCAUCCACCUCUCCUGAACCAUCCGCAUCAGUAGACUCGCCUUCAGUCCAUCAGUAUCGUCGACUUGACAUCCCAUGCUGCAUCAUCCAUGGCUUUACAUCCCGGAUCCCAGCAUCCAUGAUCCAAUAAGACAUCCGAUCAAUCCUUCAGUUCAUUAGAACAGUCUAUCAGUCCAUUGCUUUGCCGCCUCAGUACAGUCGACUCCGAUUCAGUUUACCCUUAAGGUCUGUCGAACAUCGGAUCGAUGUCUCGAUCCCAAUCAGUACAGCCCAGCAGUAUAUCCAUUGAUCAUACACGGAUCCAUCGGUCAGUAUCCGACCGGGAAAUAAUCCGAUCAAUACAAGGAACCCAUCAGUAUGCUCUCUAGAACCGGCAACCCUUACCUCUCGAUCAUAACUGCCGCAUACUCCAGUAUCCUCGCGAUCCAUCAGUACACAAUUCUAGCCAGUAUAGACUCAGCCGCUGUAUCCUCCUCUCCAGUCUGCGCUCGUUUCCGUGCAGUGCGGCCCAGAGAUGGCUCGUUUUCUUCCUAACCGCUCGCCCCAAAUCAUCGAACCAGAACUAGACCCAUCUCCGACGAUCAGUAAGACCACUGUGAGACUCUAAGGUACUCGGAAAAAAACCGAUCAGUCCUCUUGCCGAUCUCAGUCCAUCUCCAUCCGCUCUCCCCUCUCUCUCAGUUGUUUCUCUGUUUUCUCCCUGUGUUUUCUGUCCAGAACUCGCCAGGAAAAGUGUCCCCCUUCUCUGUCCACGAAAUUCCCAUUAAAAGGAGUUUGGGCGGUUCUUCUCGGCCUUAACCGCCCAUAACCGCUUUAUUCAAUUGCUCCCACACCUAAACCCAUCAGUAACUGCUCCCAGUCGGUUUAACUUAACUCCUCGAAGGUUCCAAUAGCAGUUUUGUGUUAGUUACAUAAUUUCUAGCUAACCAACUGCUAUAUAACCGCUCUAGCAGUUCCAGAACUCAACUACCCAUGUAACCGCUCUUGUAACAGCCAUGUAACUGCUCCAGCCGUUUAACUUAGCCUAUCAGUUUACAUUUGGCUCAGUAUCAAUCCCACCAGUACAUAUAUCAGUCAGUCCAUACCUAGACUAACUGAACUCGGAUGACAAGUCCAACUGCCUUGUGUGAAUCCGACCAGCUCAGUCCGACAAGCUCAACCGCUCUGUCUGGAUCCGACCUUGGACUGAUCCAUCUCAGACUGCGGGAUGGGGAUGCUACAAGUCUUCCCCACUUGAAAUGAACUCGUCCUCGAGUUCAGCAGUGAAUAGAACCUUGUUCUAUCAAAUUGGAGCAUCUCCAACAUACGACACUCGUUUUCCCUGACUCAGUUCUCAGUCUUUUUGGUCAUUCGACCAAUACUGUUUUUCCCAGACUCCAUCAACCUUGAAUCAAAUAUCUUGAUCGUAAUCACACUUGGAUUCAAUCCCAGUCAUCGAUUUCCUCAAUCUAGUCUUUACUACUUAACUAGUCUUAAAUGACUCGGUCCAGUUCACUAACUCACUAAGCAUAGUAGUUCUUACCUCUGAGCAAUAUCUUGGUGUUUGGACACACACCUUGGUGAGAACACUUGACGCCCAACUGUAUUGGCCAGUUUACCUAAAUUCCCGAAAGGUUAACUCACUAUCUUAGUUAAGUUUUCCAGUCUUCUCCCUUAACUGUUCGCAGUCACUCAUAGACCCGACCAUAGUCCAUCGCAGACUCAGUCCACACCAGAAGUCGGUAUCCCUAGUCUCGGUCCGUCCCUGACUUGACUAUUUGAUUUCCAUAACUCAAUUUUUUUCCUUACCACAGUCUAUCUCUGAAUGCUAAGAAACUUAAUGUAACGACCGAUUCUCAGGGCCCAGCAACGCCCAAUCAUUUUGCAGGAACCCUAAG